rnacentral:lncRNA from 1 species
CCACUGUUUACUCUAAACUACGCUGUUCUUUAAGUAAUCUAUUAGGACCGGGUGUAAUCUUUGAAUCGGGCUGGCGGGAGAUCCGAUUCCGGGUAGAUCGACGAUGGCCGGCAGUCUCGUUCUCAGUCGUUCUCGUGCCGAACUCCUCUCCAGUCACGUCGUCAUCAACGAUCUUUAACAAGUUAGUCUUUAAUUCCGUCACCAAUCUCUCUUCGUCCGUUCUGUCUUCAUCAGCAAGCAUCGUAGACAACUUCUCCUGUUUCACUUGGAUGUUUCCACUUGUUACUAAGUUUGAUUUCUGCGAUAUAUUUAUCAACUUUUGUAAUAUUAUUAAAAGACUAUUCAAUUAUCCAGUUAAUUUUAUUCAGUUGAUGUCGGAGGUGAAUUUAUGGGUUCAAAAUUUCUUCAUUUUCUAAGAACACACAAUAUUCUCCUCGAAAUCGUUUGUUUAUUGAUAAAUGAAUAAGGUUUGACAGAUACGAGUGAAAGCGCUUAAAUGUCUAGCCGGUCUCUCCCCCUCUAGAUCGCUCCAUCAUCAUCGUGCAUAACUCCUACCAAGAGUUGAUCAAACCUUCCACGCGCUCGUGACGGAUCCAUCGUGAAGCCUAGCUUUCCUAUGAAAUUAAAUCCAACCGAGUAGACUUUUAGGUACUCCGGCGUGCCAUGAAAGUAGAAGAAUAUUUCUUCAUUGCGAUAUAUCCAUUCGUGUGGAUCGACACCAUCUAAUUUCUAUUCGAGCGCACGUAAACUUGCGAUUGUGGUGAUCCCGAGAAAGAUCAAUAUCAUGAUUUUGUCAAAACCUAG